UCCUCUUUACAGAGGCAGUUUGUUCCGAGUCCCCGGCAUGGGAAACCCAUCCGCUGGUAACAGAACAUGAGGGUUGCGCUCGUUGCGGGACUUAACCCAACAUUUCACAACACGAGCUGACGACAGCCAUGCACCACCUGUGCUCCACCCUCGAAGGCGACGCCUUUUGGGGCGCUUGCAGGAGCAUGUCAAGCCCUGGUAAGGUUCUUCGCGUUGCAUCGAAUUAAGCCAUAUGCUCCACCGCUUGUGCGGGCCCCCGCCAAUUCCUUUGAGUUUCAACCUUGCGGCCGUAGUCCCCAGGCGGUUCACUUAAUGCGUUAGCUGCGGCACCGAGGCUUACGCCCCAACACCUAGUGAACAUCGUUUAUGGCCAAGACUAC
rnacentral:misc_RNA from 1 species